UACGUAGGGGGCAAGCGUUGUCCGGAAUCAUUGGGCGUAAAGAGCGUGUAGGCGGUCCGGUAAGUCGGCUGUGAAAGUCCAGGGCUCAACCCUGGGAUGCCGGUCGAUACUGCCGGACUAGAGUCCGGAAGAGGCAAGUGGAAUUCCCGGUGUAGCGGUGAAAUGCGUAGAUAUCAAGAGGAAUACCUGAGGUGAAGACGGGUUGCUAGGCUGACACUGACGCUGAGGCGCGAAAGCCAGGGGAGCAAACGGG
rnacentral:rRNA from 1 species